UACGAAGGGGGCUAGCGUUGCUCGGAAUCACUGGGCGUAAAGCGCACGUAGGCGGAUUGUUAAGUCAGGGGUGAAAUCCUGGAGCUCAACUCCAGAACUGCCUUUGAUACUGGCGAUCUUGAGUUUGGGAGAGGUGAGUGGAACUGCGAGUGUAGAGGUGAAAUUCGUAGAUAUUCGCAAGAACACCAGUGGCGAAGGCGGCUCACUGGCCCGAUACUGACGCUGAGGUGCGAAGGCCAGGGGAGCAAACGGG
rnacentral:rRNA from 1 species